CAAAGCCCCCUCUGGUCUGGGUGUUCAACUCAGAUCUACAACUGACUGACGUCGGUAAAUUGCGAGUGAAAUCGAUCUGGGACCGCAGCUGAUCAGUUUGACGACGGUGGGUUUCGGGGCGGGUUACCGGUCUGAAUCCGGCGCCGGUGGGCUACAAAGUGGGUCGCCGUGGUCUGGUUCGAUACCAGCGAUUUGCAAGAUGGCUGUGGUUUGGGUUCGAUUCUUCCAGCAAUCUCAAGAGUGCGUCUGAUGAUGUUGAGCGACUAACCAGGUUGAUUAAGCGAGGAAGAGCUAUGCUGGACUGAGAUUUCUUGGGGAAGUUUGAAUGAAAUCCACUGUUGCUAAACAAAGCUUUUAAUGACCGAUGAUAUUUCAGAAACCGAAACGGGGCUAGAGGACAGCGAAGCAACAAAAGCCCAAUUGGCUGCAACGAAAGCACAAUUAGCAGAAUUCUCAACCAAGCUUGAAGCUGCCUUUAAUGCUUCUGUGGACAAACUUCAAAGCUCUGUGAUAUGUCGGUUGGUGAAGAAUAAAGAACCGCGAAGAGAGUGUAUAUUAGGACCACAUUACAGUUUGGGUAUGCCGUCGGCCAUCAACGAGGUUCUAGAAAACUCAUUGGUGGACACAUCUUGCUUGACCGGCGGAGCUAGCUGGUCUAGCUGGAAUACAAACUCCAAACAACCAGGGAGUUGGCCGAAAUCUACACCCGAGUGGAAGAAAUGGGUACCACGGAUGGAGCACUUUUUCGGCCGCUCAUGGAAAAAGUUUGGUAUUUAUGAUAGUAUUAAAAUGUCUGAGCAAGAAAUCUACAUGGACCAGCCCCUUCUUGCUGCUGCCUUGUGUUUUUGGUCAUCUGCUACUAACACCAUGAACCUGCCACUUGGGCCAAUGAGUCCAACCUUGCUAGAUAUGGCCGCAAUAUUUGGUUUUCGGCCGAAUGGAGAGGAGAUAUGUGCCUUAGCUGACCUUCCUUCCUCUUUUCAUGCUAGCUUGAAACUCAAAGUGAACAAGGAUGACAAGAAGGCCAAACAAAAAGCCGAUGCCAAAGCAAGGAAGUUGCUUAACUAUAGCACUUUCUACGCCGAACAUGCAAUUGCCGAAGAUGUGUCCACGGUUGAGAGGCACAGCCCGAAACAACAUGAGCACGCUGCUUUCCUCCUAUAUUGGUUAUGCAAAUAUGUGUUUUGCACUAAGUCGAACAAGUGUUUGUUCGAGUUUGCUGGUAUUGCGGAGGCCCUUAGCUUGGGUAAACCUUUAGCCCUUGGUCCAUUCGUCCUUGCCUAUCUUUAUCGUACUCUGCGUAAUGUGGUGACCAACAAUAUGACACUGGAUGUUGGAGGGCCACUAUGGAUGUUCCAGGUAUGGGUGCAAACUUACUUUCGUCAGGUUCGACCAAGUCAUCAUUUUAAUUCCACUGUGAUUCUCGGCCGCCAGAUCAUCUCUCUUGGUCCUCAUGCCCAUUCGGUAGUAGAGUGCUUUGCUUUCUUCCUUUCGAAAAAGAGCAUGACCAAGGAAGAGUUUGCCAUCUGUUAUAGCCGAGAUUAUCCUUCUUGUCUUGCAUUAAACAUAAUGAAGCCAUGAGAGAGGUCUUUGGACUUGUCAGUACUUCUACCUUGGGGGAGCAUUCUGAUUUCUCGAGACAUAAACUAUGGUCUCAAGGGUACACUGGGUCGGCCAGGGAUUGAGGUUUAUCUUCCAAACUUCGUUGCGCGUCAACUUGGCUUCAUACAAAGUUGUCCAGCCUUCUUUCUAAUGUCCCGGAAUCGUUUUUCUUCAUGGAGAGGUGGGUUUACAGACACUGCGCAUUGUUCGGCCGUCACUCUUUAUUAUCAGACUCAGUUUGGCAAGUUUGAGAGAUCUGGCCUGAGCGCCCGCGAACCUGAUCAUAGAGCAACCCCGACUUUCCCAAGUUUGGUGGUCAACAUUUAUCAAGAGGAAACUUGGAGAGGACUUGCGGACAAUCGAGCGUGUUGCCUUGUAUGGAUUUCCGGGCUUGGUUGCCAAAAAAGGUGAGUAAUCUCAACCAGAAAAAUUCCUUUGAUCUCAAAUACAUUUCUAAAGUUAUGCUUUGUGUUCUAGGCAAUGGCAAGAAGAAAGCACCAGUUGCUAAGUCGAAAUCCAAAGAAUUGUCUAAGGAAGGUAAAUCCCAACUCACUGUCCGACCAAUCGCUAAUUUCUUUAGUUGCUAAAUUUUUGCUAUCUUUCAGAGCAAACCUCAAAGAAACGAGGAUCAAAGUCGGGAAGAACUUUGCCUACCAAGAAGGUAAAGAAGUCACCUGACGUGGUGGAGAGUUCGGUCACGAAUCCGGCCGACAUUAUGGUUAGUGAAGACAUAAUUUUCGAGGGUGAUAUGGAUAAUAGCCAAAAUGCUCUAGCUGAAAAUCACAUCAUGUCUGGAGCUGAGGAUGCGGCCGAAACUAGUGAUGCCUCAACCAACAAUACGGGCUCGGCCGACAGCGAAGGUUCGCUUGAUGAAGCACAGUCAGAAAACUUUGAGCAUGAGGGAGAUGGCCGUAUUGAUCACUCUUUGCCUCCUCCUGAGAGUUCCAUGGUUGAGAUUGACAUGGAUGACUUGGGUGAGAACCAGCUUCCUAAUAUCGACCAACAACUCGCAAACUCAGCCAACCUUGCUAAGGAUGUGGAAGACAUCGGUGUACUUGGCCGAGAGGCAUUGCUUAACCACCAAAUACAUGUCCAGGUAAAAUAUUUCAAUCCGGCUUGGUGUUUAUCGCCCUCAUACUCUAGAAACAACUUGAACCUUUAUUGUUUGUGCAGGUACGAGAAUCUCGAAGCGGUUCAACCCUGGAGUUGGCUCUUCUCAACCCAACUGAACAAACUCCCUCUAUGUUCGGAAUGCUUACCUCUCCUCCUACUGAAGGGAUACCUCGAAAUGAUCAAGCUAUCGUUUGAGCCUCAUCGUCGGCUGAGCCUGUGGAACAAACAACAGGUGAUCUUGGUUUGGAGUUACUUCAGUUUCUCAAUACGCUAGACAACAACGUGAGCCCGGUAGAGGAAAAGCUUGAGACAAAUGAAACCAAGAAGGCACUUGAAUCAGUCAGACAGUUUUUGGGUUGUGAUACGAGAGCAGUAACCGAGACUAGUUUCCUCACCUUCAAGGAGGUGGUUGAAGUACUUAUUUCAGCCAACCACUUAUCUCAAGUAGAAGCUUAUGAAUUUCAUGCCCUUUUGUCCCGUGCAAAUUUUAGUCUUUCUCCUUGCCUAGAAGCCCAAAAAGAGUUUGAAACCGGCGAGAAGUUGAUAAGUGAGUAUAAAGACAUUCGCCAGUCUACCGAUCUUGGCCAACUUCAUAAGUUGAAGACUUCUUUGGACGAGGGAAGGCAAAAAGUGCGUGAUUUGAAAAAGCAAUUAGUCGAAGCUGAAGAGCAAGUCAAAGUCACUUCGGCUGCCAUCCGAACCAUUGUUCCUCAACAAGAUCUAACUAGGUAUAGCUUGAUUUUAUCCUCGGUCAAGUCGUACAACAAGAAGAGAGGCAUCUUGAAGAGAAAGGUCGACCAAGGUAUGGAGGACUUGGAAAAAGUUAGGGAAGUUCUUCGGUCUCUUCUACCCUCUGACAUGUAGUUAUAGGGGGAUUUGGUAUUCAUCUCGACUUAUAUUUUGUACAUGGUCCUAGGACCAUAACUCAGCCGGUUGCAUUAAUUUUGUAGAGUCUAACCGACCUUAUUUGUAGGACUCACAUUCUAAUUUGCGUAUAUGACCGGUUGAUCAUUCGGCCGCUAUUUUGUC